rnacentral:rRNA from 1 species
CGAACGCUGGCGGCGUGGAUUAGGCAUGCAAGUCGAACGAGAAAGCUUCCUUCGGGGAGCGAGUAAAGUGGCGAAAGGGUGAGUAAUGUAUGGAUGACUUACCCUCGAGACGGGGAUAACAGUUCGAAAGGACUGCUAAUACCCGAUGGUUCCUUCGGCUCUCGGGCCGUAGGAUAAAUGGUGAUUCCGCUCGGGGAGAGGUCCAUAUCCUAUCAGCUUGUUGGCGGGGUAAAAGCCCACCAAGGCGAUGACGGGUAGCCGGACUGAGAGGUUGGCCGGCCACACUGGGACUGAGACACUGCCCAGACUCCUACGGGAGGCUGCAGUCGAGAAUCUUCCGCAAUGGGCGCAAGCCUGACGGAGCGACGCCGCGUGCAGGAGGACGGCCUUCGGGUUGUAAACUGCUGUCACACGUUAAGAAACGUUGCGGUCUACCGUAACUUGACAAAGGCGUGAGAGGAAGUCACGGCUAACUUC